rnacentral:rRNA from 1 species
AUUGAACGCUGGCGGAAUGCUUUACACAUGCAAGUCGAGCGGCAGCGCGGGGCAACCUGGCGGCGAGCGGCGAACGGGUGAGUAAUACAUCGGAACGUACCCAGUCGUGGGGGAUAGCCCGGCGAAAGCCGGAUUAAUACCGCAUACGACCUGAGGGUGAAAGUGGGGGACCGCAAGGCCUCACGCGAUUGGAGCGGCCGAUGGCGGAUUAGCUAGUUGGUGGGGUAAAGGCCUACCAAGGCGACGAUCCGUAGCUGGUCUGAGAGGACGACCAGCCACACUGGAACUGAGACACGGUCCAGACUCCUACGGGAGGCAGCAGUGGGGAAUUUUGGACAAUGGGGGAAACCCUGAUCCAGCCAUUCCGCGUGAGUGAAGAAGGCCUUCGGGUUGUAAAGCUCUUUCGGCAGGAACGAAACGGUCGUGGUGAAUAUCCAUGGCUAAUGACGGUACCUGAAGAAGAAGCACCGGCUAACUACGUG